AAGUAGCUCUCUCUCGGGGAAGUUAGGAGCACUGCAGGAGACAGAGAAACCCAGAUUCAGAGGGGACACAUCAGUUAAGACAAUACCUGAUUGCUAAAGAGGCAGACAUGGAGCCCAGAAAUGGAGCUGGCCUGUUAGCUGUGAUAUUAGAGGCACAUUCUUGACACAUAAUCGUCACGACCCCAUGAAUUCCACACGUAUGCUGUCUGUCUGCAUUUCUGCUGGGAGACAGAGGCUCAGCAAGCUGGACAGCAGACAACAGGCAGAGCUGGGAUUCACAGUUAGGUGUUCACAACGGCAAAGCUGUUUUCCACUGCUUCAUCUCAUUGAGUGUGCGCAUCUGCUCCUGUUUAGAUUGCCUCCUGGAAACUGGAGUGUACUUGUGGCCUAGUAAAGAAAUCCUGCCCAUGCUGUUCAUAGAAGGAAAAUCCUGGUCCAUAAAAAGUCUC